UCUGAAGUCGAGCGACAGCACCAGUAGCUUGCUUCUCUGAUGUUAGCGGCGGACGGGUGAGUAACACGUGGAUAACCUACCUAUAAGACUGGGAUAACUUCGGGAAACCGGAGCUAAUACCGGAUAAUAUUUUGAACCGCAUGGUUCAAAAGUGAAAGACGGUCUUGCUGUCACUUAUAGAUGGAUCCGCGCUGCAUUACCUAGUUGGUAAGGUAACGGCUUACCAAGGCAACGAUGCAUAGCCGACCUGAGAGGGUGAUCGGCCACACUGGAACUGAAACACGGUCCAAACUCCUACGGGAGGCAGCAGUAGGGAAUCUUCCGCAAUGGGCGAAAGCCUGACGGAGCAACGCCGCGUGAGUGAUGAAGGUCUUCGGAUCGUAAAACUCUGUUAUUAGGGAAAAACAUAUGUGUAAGUAACUGUGCACAUCUUGACGGUACCUAAUCAAAAAGCCACGGCUAACUACGUGCCAGCAGCCGCGGUAAUACGUAGGUGGCAAGCGUUAUCCGGAAUUAUUGGGCGUAAAGCGCGCGUAGGCGGUUUUUUAAGUCUGAUGUGAAAGCCCACGGCUCAACCGUGGAGGGUCAUUGGAAACUGGAAAACUUGAGUGCAGAAAAGGAAAGUGGAAUUCCAUGUGUAGCGGUGAAAUGCGCAGAGAUAUGGAGGAACACCAGUGGCGAAGGCGACUUUCUGGUCUGUAACUGACGCUGAUGUGCGAAAGCGUGGGGAUCAAACAGGAUUAGAUACCCUGGUAGUCCACGCCGUAAACGAUGAGUGCUAAGUGUUAGGGGGUUUCCGCCCCUUAGUGCUGCAGCUAACGCAUUAAGCACUCCGCCUGGGGAGUACGACCGCAAGGUUGAAACUCAAGGAAUUGACGGGGACCCGCACAAGCGGUGGAGCAUGUGGUUUAAUUCGAAGCACGCGAAACCUUACCAGAAUCUUGACAUCCUUGACACCUAGAGA
rnacentral:rRNA from 1 species